UUAACUUUGGGGAAGAUUUGGCUAUUGACAUUGUUCUUCACUCCUUGCCUUCAUGCUAUACUCAAUUUAGGAUGACCUACCACGUGAACAAGGAAUAGGUCACCCUACGCAAACUCCAAGGACUCUUAAGGACUGCUGAGAGCAACCUAAAGGACAAGUCUGUUGCACCAACUCCCGCACCAACCGCUGCUCCUGUUUUGGCUAUAGGGCAGGGAAGGGGCAAGAAGAGGAAGGCUCCGUCAAAGAGCCAGCGCAAGGGGGCAGAGUGCCAUCAUUGCUAAGCCCAACCCUAACCCGAAGGAGGCAGAGUGCCAUCAUUGUCACAAAAUAGGGCAUUGGAAGAGAAGCUGCCGGAAUAUCUGCAACCCAUCAAGGAUGGAAAGAUCAAGCCAUCUUUUGCAGGUAUAUACACAAUUAAAUCUAAUAAUUCACCUCAUACUAUUUCUUGGGUUCUUGAUACAGGAUGUGGUUACCACAUUUGUUCUGAUUUGCAGGGACUAAGAAGAGAUAGAGAUGUGGAGCAAGGAAGAAUAAAUCUAAUCAUGGGAAACAGAAGAUCGUCGCCUGUCACCAAGAUUGGAGUGUAUUCUUUAGUGCUUAGUAAUGGAUUAGGUUUAGAUUUAAAUAAUUGUUGCUACUUGCCAGAUAUGGCAAGAAACAUCAUUUCAUUUCAUGGUUUGUUUAGAUAAGGCUUUAGAUAUUCGUUUAAUAAUAUGAAUGGUUCUAUUUAUGCUUAUCUAAAUGGUGUUUUAUACCUUGAAGCAGGGAUGAGAAUUUGUCCUGAAAACCCGAACCGAACCGAAAACCAAACCGAAAGAAACCCGAAUAAGCAAUUCCAUUUUGUUCUCGGGUAUCUAUAUAAGGCUUAUUCGGUUUUCGGGUUAUUCGGUCUGGGUUACCCGAAUAAGGGCUUAUUCGGUCCAAAAGGACCGAACCGAAUAUGAAAAGUCACUUUUUUUUUCCUAACACGAUUGCUUAUUCAGUAUUCUUUUCAAUCGAUCGUUACCCAACAAAACCCAUGUAAUACACCAAAAAAACCAAUGAAAUCGAAUUCGAUCAUCCGUAUUACACCAAAUCGACGAGUCGACGACAUUACUCUUUGAUCGAUUGAGGUUUUUCUCAUCCUUGCAACAUUACUCUUUGAUCGACAGUUGCGGCUACUGCCCUUGCGACUUGCGAUAACCUGGACUCAUUGAUCGAUCAUCACUAGUUUAAAGUUCAAACGUCAAAGUCCAUUCACAAUAAGAAAAAAAAAUUCAGCCUUGCGUUUGGAAAAAAUAAUUGUCUCCUCAUCCUUGUUUUCUAGUUUCUAGUGUGAUCAAACUCCAUUCAAGUCAUGGAAAAUUGGGUUCCAAAUCAAGAAAAUCAAGUAAGUAUUUGUAUCUUAAUCUACUACUCAAUCUUUCAGUGUGUUAUUAUGUAUGUUACUUAUUGAAAUUUGAAUGUGUUAAUCUACUACUCAAUAUUUUAAUUUGUUUCUUUAAAAGAUUUGUUAUGAAAUCAUAAUCUACAAAAUUCAUACAAAAUACAAUAUUUAUAAUCACAUUCUAAAUGUUUUUUGGGUCAUUCGGGUCAUUCGGGUUAUUCGGCUCCUUAAUCAUCUUGCACAUGUUAUUUGGGUUAUUUGGGCCGAAACCGAACCGAACCGAAUAAUACCCGAACCGAACCGAACUCGUAUUGCUUAUUUGGUUAAGUUUUUGGUUCAUACAAUUACCCUUAUUCGGUUUUUGGUUUAUUCGGGUUCGGGUCGGUUCGGUUCGGUUCCGACCCGAAUAACAUCCCUACUUUGAAGCAAUGCCUUGUAAUGGAAUUUAUGAAACUGUUAUGGUUGUAGAUAACCUAGGAAAUGAUGUGUUGUGUAUGGAUUCUUCCAAUGGUAUGGAUAAAGCAUCUUUGUGGCAUUGUCGUCUUGGACAUAUCAACAAGAAGCGCAUACCCCAACUCCAAAAGGAUGUAGUGUUGGAGUCAUUCGACCGUAGGGAAGAUGACACGUGUGAAUCUUGUUUACUUGGAAAGAUGACCAAGUCACCCUUCACUGGCACUUGUGAAAGGGGUAAGGGUUUACUGGAUCUCAUACAUACCGAUGUAUGUGGGCCCUUUAGAUCCACCACAAAGGAUGGGAACCGCUUCUACGUGACUUUUACCGAUGAUUAUAGUAGAUAUGGGUAUAUUUACUUAAUCAAGCACAAGUCUGAAACGUUUGAAAAGUUCAAAGAGUUCAAGAAUGAAGUGGAGAAUCAAUUGGGCAGGAAGAUCAAGAUGCUUCGAUCCGAUCGAGGAGGAGAGUACCUAAGUCUUGAAUUCCACGACUAUCUCAAGGAAUGUGGAAUAGUUUCGCAAUUGACGCCACCUAGGACACCACAGUUAAAUGGUGUGGCAGAAAGGCACAAUCGAACCUUGUUAGACAUGGUUCGUUCAAUGAUGAGUCGUGCUUCACUACCGAUCUCCUUUUGGGGGUAUGCC
rnacentral:lncRNA from 1 species